GGCAGCAGUAGAGAAUCUUGUGCAAUGCACGAAAGUAUGACACAGAGAGGACACAUUUAAUUGAGCCCGUCAAAUUAAGUGCCAGCCGACGCGGUUAAACUUAAGGGCUGGUCUUUAUAAGUAAAAAGGCGUAAAGGAUGUGUAGGCCAAGAAAUUAUUCAAGAAGGUAAAUGGAAUUUUUCUGGAGCGGUAGAAUGUGAGGAUAGAAAAUAGAACACCUAAGGUUAAAACUAUUUACCACAAAAUAGGCUGAAACAUGAGAGUGUGGGGAGCAAACAGGAUUAGAGACCCUGGUAGUCCACUCUGUGAACUUUGAAGAUUAUGCUUAGCAGACCCGAAAGGUAAAAUCUUCCGCCUGAGUAGUACGAUCGCAAGAUUAAAAUUCAAAAACUUUGGCUGUUCACUAUUUCGAUUAGAGGAGCGUGUAGUUUAAUUCGAUGGUCCGCGUGUUACCUUACCCCAGCUUGAAUCUAUGACCGGUAUUGCAUGGCCGUCGUAAGUCCGUGUGUUAAACUAGAAGGGACCCAAUCCGGGCAUUUGCCCGAAGGAAGUCAGGUCUUAUGAUCCGAAUGUUGGGGGAUUUUAUGCGCUACAUUUUCUUAUAUAAUGAGAGACUUGAAAGGUAAGCCUCUAAAGUAAGAGUUCGGAAGGUCGCUGUAAAACGACUGGAAGUUGGAUUUAAUAGUAAUCGGAAAGUAGGGCGUUCCGGUGAAUUGGUACAAGUGUUAGCACAAAUUGCCCGUCACCUUUACCUAGAAUGGUUAUUCGGACGCCUUAGGGGUUACGA
rnacentral:rRNA from 1 species